GACGAACGCUGGCGGCGUGCCUAAUACAUGCAAGUUGAGCGCUGAAGGUUGGUACUUGUACCAACUGGAUGAGCAGCGAACGGGUGAGUAACGCGUGGGGAAUCUGCCUUUGAGCAGGGGACAACAUUUGGAAACGAAUGCUAAUACCGCAUAAAAACUUUAAACACAAGUUUUAAGUUUGAAAGAUGCAAUUGCAUCACUCAAAGAUGAUCCCGCGUUGUAUUAGCUAGUUGGUGAGGUAAAGGCUCACCAAGGCGAUGAUACAUAGCCGACCUGAGAGGGUGAUCGGCCACAUUGGGACUGAGACACGGCCCAAACUCCUACGGGAGGCAGCAGUAGGGAAUCUUCGGCAAUGGACGAAAGGCUGACCGAGCAACGCCGCGGGAGGGAAGAAGGUUUUCGGAUCGUAAAACUCUGUUGGUAGAGAAGAACGUUGGUGAGAGUGGAAAGCUCACCAAGUGACGGUAACUACCCAGAAAGGGACGGCUAACUACGUG
rnacentral:rRNA from 1 species